rnacentral:rRNA from 1 species
UACAGAGGGGGCAAGCGUUGUUCGGAAUUACUGGGCGUAAAGGGCGCGUAGGCGGCCGGCUACGUCAGACGUGAAAUCCCCGGGCUCAACCCGGGCACUGCGUCUGAGACUGGUCGGCUCGAAUCCGGGAGAGGGAUGCGGAAUUCCAGGUGUAGCGGUGAAAUGCGUAGAGAUCGGGAGGAACAUCAGUGGCGAAGGCGGCCAUCUGGGACAACACUGACGCUGAGGCACGAAAGCGUGGGGAGCAAACAGG